CGAGGAGAGAGCGGGGAGACCGCGUUUAGAGCAUCAGUGGCGGCUGCAUCCGCGGCCCCGCGCUCUACGGGCGGCGGGCUGCGAGAUGCCCAGGCCCCCCUCCUGCCCCGAAAGAAAGGAAAAAAGCAAGGUGUAGCUGAUUAGCAAGUUAAUUAUUUCAGUACCCCAAGGGUUCCAGUGUGGUGUCUGGACUUGUGAAGAUGAAGACCCCAGCCUCCUCAGCUGCUGAGAUUUCCAUGUCUCUCUGGCCAUUCACACAUUAGCCCACAUGGUAGGCACUGGCCAGCACACAGUUUGAAAGGGUAACUAUGGGCCAGGUUGUUCUUAUUUGGGCUCAAGAAAAGAUAUAGUUUCCCCUUAAGAAAGAGAUGCAAGGAACCACUUCUAUGAAUCUUUUAAUGAAGGAUUUACUACUAAUUUGAUCAGUUCAUUGCUCUUUUUACUCAUUCUGAAUGAAUAACUUCAUCAGUCAACCCAAGGGUCUGCAGAACCUAUAAAAAUGCCUCCUUUGGUCUUCCUGCUUUAACACAUGCUGGGGCUCCGGCCUGCCUCUGACAGACUGGGGAGGAGCAGAAACAUUCCAGAGACCAGGUCUUAGAGUGUUAUCUCUUCCCCACCCUAAAUCCUCACCCUCCAUUUUAUCUCUCAAAUACAAAUGCAGGGACCUCCUAGGGAAGUGUGAAGGGAUAGGUUUUAAUCUGGGCUGGGGAAGGAAGGGGAAUGAGUUGAACCUAAAGGAAGAUGGGGGCAGUUGGAAUUUUUAACACCCCUCUGUUAAUACUUUUCCUGUGUCGUGUAUUAUAUCUUAUAAAGUACGCAUUUGUCACGGUAAUCGACAGUGUAUAUAUGGCAUUUGCCAAAUGCUGCUUGGCCAAAACAGUGUUAAAUAAAAUUGUAA